rnacentral:misc_RNA from 1 species
AAGUCGUAACAAGGUUUCCGUAGGUGAACCUGCGGAAGGAUCAUUAACACGUAUCCAACGUUAAACCCCCCGUGCACACAGCGACCUGCUCCCCUCAAUUUCGGUCUUUUGGCAAUCCCUGGUAAAUCAUCGCCGAACAGUUUUGAUUCAGGGACAUCCAAAGGGCCGGGGUAGGGUAUUAAAGUAGUAGUCAAUGCAAAAGCGACCUGGUUUCUUUGAAGCAGAAAGUGUGAUGGCAUGAGCCAGAGAACGGACCGAGAGGUAGUUCGAAGGUGCCUUCUGUCGCGCACUGUGGAAAGGAAGACGCUUUACGAAUCACUGUCCAACACGGCCAGUGUCACCACCACAGUCGCAGACGAGGUAGGGAUACGUCCCUACCACCAAAUAAAUACUUGAACAACUGUUAACAAUGGAUAUCUUGGUUCUC